rnacentral:tRNA from 1 species
GGUUGUACCUCAGUGGUAGAGCACUUGCCUAGUAUGUAUGAGGCACUGGGUUCAAUCCUCAGCACCACCA